rnacentral:rRNA from 1 species
GUUUCUAUCUACGUUUUAAUUUCUCUUAGUACGAAAGGACCAGAGAGAACAUGCCUCUGCCAUGAACGUAAGCAUUAUAAUUAAAAAC